rnacentral:rRNA from 1 species
CCUACGGGAGGCAGCAGUAGGGAAUCUUUCACAAUGGGCGAAAGCCUGAUGGAGCAACGCCGCGUGCAGGAUGAAUGCCUUCGGGUUGUAAACUGCUUUUAUAAGCGAGAAAUAUGAUGGUAACUUAUGAAUAAGGAUCGGCUAACUACGUGCCAGCAGCCGCGGUCAUACGUAGGAUCCGAGCAUUAUCCGGAGUGACUGGGUGUAAAGAGUUGCGUAGGUGGCAUAAUAAGUAGCUAGUGAAAUCUGGUGGCUCAACCAUUCAGACUAUUAGCUAAACUGUUAAGCUCGAGACCGUUAGGGGUAACUGGAAUUUCUAGUGUAGGAGUGAAAUCCGUAGAUAUUAGAAGGAACACCAAUAGCGUAGGCAGGUUGCUGGGACGGGUCUGACACUAAGGCACGAAAGCGUAGGGAGCAAACGGGAUUAGAUACCCGUGUAGUC